GCCUGGGUGGUGAAACUGGCAAACACGCAGGUCUCAAAAACCUGUGAGGUAAAAUCUCUUGCGGGUUCGAUUCCCGCCCCAGGCA
rnacentral:tRNA from 1 species